AUGAACGCUGGCGGCGUGCCUAAUCCAUGCACGUCGAGCGAACAGACGAGGAGCUUGCUCCUCUGACGUUAGCGGCGGACGGGUGAGUAACACGUGGAUAACCUACCUAUAAGACUGGGAUAACUUCGGGAAACCGGAGCUAAUACCGGAUAAUAUAUUGAACCGCAUGGUUCAAUAGUGAAAGACGGUUUUGCUGUCACUUAUAGAUGGAUCCGCGCCGCAUUAGCUAGUUGGUAAGGUAACGGCUUACCAAGGCAACGAUGCGUAGCCGACCUGAGAGGGUGAUCGGCCACACUGGAACUGAGACACGGUCCAGACUCCUACGGGAGGCAGCAGUAGGGAAUCUUCCGCAAUGGGCGAAAGCCUGACGGAGCAAUGCCGCGUGAGUGAUGAAGGUCUUCGGAUCGUAAAACUCUGUUAUUAGGGAAGAACAAAUGUGUAAGUAACUAUGCACGUCUUGACGGUACCUAAUCAGAAAGCCACGGCUAACUACGU
rnacentral:rRNA from 1 species